rnacentral:rRNA from 1 species
GACGAACGCUGGCGGCGUGCCUAAUACAUGCAAGUCGAACGCACUCUCGUUUAGAUUGAAGGAGCUUGCUCCUGAUUGAUAAACAUUUGAGUGAGUGGCGGACGGGUGAGUAACACGUGGGUAACCUGCCCUAAAGUGGGGGAUAACAUUUGGAAACAGAUGCUAAUACCGCAUAAAACCUAAACACCGCAUGGUGUAGGGUUGAAAGAUGGUUUCGGCUAUCACUUUAGGAUGGACCCGCGGUGCAUUAGUUAGUUGGUGAGGUAAAGGCUCACCAAGACCGUGAUGCAUAGCCGACCUGAGAGGGUAAUCGGCCACACUGGGACUGAGACACGGCCCAGACUCCUACGGGAGGCAGCAGUAGGGAAUCUUCCCACAAUGGACGAAAGUCUGAUGGAACAACGCCGCGUGAGUGAAGAAGGUUUUCGGAUCGUAAAACUCUGUUGUUGGAGAAGAAUGUAUCUGAUAGUAACUGAUCAGGUAGUGACGGUAUCC